AGAACCCAGCUGCUUCUCAUUGUGGGUCAAAUUGUGCUGGACUCCUUUGUUGCUCCUCUGACUUCUGGAUUGACCUGUCCUGUUGUUUGCUGGCAGGAAGCUGCACUGCGAAGGUGGAAUUGGGGAUUUGUUUACCUGGCAGCGUGGUAAUUCACCAGUCACAGGGACUGAGGCUUCUGUGGUGGCGGUGGUGACCCCUGGUGGCGGUGUUUUUGUUGUGUGUUUUGGAGCUCCCUUUCCUUGUUUGCUGUGUUUUGUAGUGUCCAGGGUGGUCCCUUUUCUUCACUAGAUGUUGCCCCUCUUCUCACCACCUUCCUUUCCAUUGGUAAGCCUCAGUUCCCAUUGAGAUUUAAACAUUUGUAUAUAUAUAUUUUUUUCAAUGCAUCCACUGUUUUAACCAUUCAAGUUCAGGUUACUGUUAAAUUAAAACCAUGU